rnacentral:rRNA from 1 species
GAUGAACGCUGGCGGCGUGCCUAAUACAUGCAAGUCGAGCGAACGGACGAGAAGCUUGCUUUUCUGAUGUUAGCGGCGGACGGGUGAGUAACACGUGGAUAACCUACCUAUAAGACUGGGAUAACUUCGGGAAACCGGAGCUAAUACCGGAUAAUAUUUUGAACCGCAUGGUUCAAAAGUGAAAGACGGUCUUGCUGUCACUUAUAGCUGGAUCCGCGCUGCAUUAGCUAGUUGGUAAGGUAACGGCUUACCAAGGCAACGAUGCAUAGCCGACCUGAGAGGGUGAUCGGCCACACUGGAACUGAGACACGGUCCAGACUCCUACGGGAGGCAGCAGUAGGGAAUCUUCCGCAAUGGGCGAAAGCCUGACGGAGCAACGCCGCGUGAGUGAUGAAGGUCUUCGGAUCGUAAAACUCUGUUAUUAGGGAAGAACAUAUGUGGAAGUAACUGUGCACAUCUUGACGGUACCUAAUCAGAAAGCCACGGCUAACUACGUG